rnacentral:lncRNA from 10 species
GUCAUGUAGUGGAAUAGAGCUGUACCUGGCUUCAGGCGAGACUUGGCAACUCCAAAAUGGAAGUACUAUUGUUAUCUCCGUUUACAAAUUAGGAAACUGAGGCACAGAUAUGCUCUUGGGUACUUGUCAGCAGCAGUUGUUCUACAAAUGAGCGUCUUAGCCUCUGGAUUACUGCUCAAUGAGGAAAGCUAUGAAAUGCAUGGAUAACUUGCUAAUCAGUAUUUGCCAUAUGUGCUAGCAGCAUCAGCAUCAGUUGGGAGAUUAUGGUGGCCUCCAUGUCAGACCUCCUAAAUCGGAAUAUCAGAGAAGGUGGCCCAGGUUACCAUGCUUCAUCUGCCAAUGCAUUGAAAACUUGGAAUGUAAAUUAAUUCAACCAUUGUGGAAGAUGGUGUAGUGAUUCCUCAAAGACCUAGAAGCAGAAAUAUCAUUUGAUCCAGAAAUCCCAUUACUGUGUAUACACCCAAAGGAAUAUAAACCAUUCUAUUACAAAGAUACAUGCGUGCGUAUGUUCAUUGCAGCAUUAUUCACAAUAGUAAAGACAUAGAGUCAACCCAAAUGCCCAUCAAAGACAAACAAUAUGUGGUACAUAUACACCAUGGAAUACCAUGCACCCAUAAAAAGGAACAAGAUCACAUUUUUUGUAGGGACAUGGAUGGAGCUGGAAGGCAUUGUCCUCAGCAAAAUAACAUAGGAACAGAAAACCAAACACCCCAUGUCCUCACUUAUAAGUGGGAGGUAAACAAUGAGAACACAUGGACACAGGGAGAGGAACAACACACAUUGGGGCCUGUUGGAGGGUGGGGUGGGGGAGAGAGAGCAUUAGGAAAAGUAGCUAACUCAUGCUGGGCUCAAUGCGUAGGUGAUGGGUUGAUAGGUGCAGCAAACCACCAUGGCACAUGGUUACCUAUGUAACAAGCCUGCACAUCCUGCACAUGUACCCCAGAACUUAAAAUAAAAAUAAAAAUUUAAAAAAACUC